UCCGGAGUAGCUCAGUUGGUAGAGCAGGUGGCUGUUAACCACUUUGUCGGGGGUUCAAGUCCCUCCUCCGGAGCAA
rnacentral:tRNA from 1 species